UACGUAGGGGGCAAGCGUUGUCCGGAAUCAUUGGGCGUAAAGAGCGUGUAGGCGGCCCGGCAAGUCAGCUGUGAAAGUCCAGGGCUCAACCCUGGGAUGCCGGUGGAUACUGUCGGGCUCGAGUCCGGAAGAGGAGUGUGGAAUUCCUGGUGUAGCGGUGAAAUGCGCAGAUAUCAGGAGGAACACCAGCAGCGAAGGCGGCGCUCUGGGCUGGAACUGACGCUGAGGAGCGAAAGCGUGGGUAGCAAACAGG
rnacentral:rRNA from 1 species